UACGUAGGGCGCGAGCGUUGUCCGGAAUUAUUGGGCGUAAAGGGCUCGUAGGCGGUUUGUCGCGUCGGGAGUGAAAACCCAGGGCUUAACCCUGGGCUGGCUUCCGAUACGGGCAGACUAGAGGUAUGCAGGGGAGAACGGAAUUCCUGGUGUAGCGGUGAAAUGCGCAGAUAUCAGGAGGAACACCGGUGGCGAAGGCGGUUCUCUGGGCAUUACCUGACGCUGAGGAGCGAAAGUGUGGGGAGCGAACAGG
rnacentral:rRNA from 1 species